rnacentral:lncRNA from 1 species
GGAGGGUUUAUAGAAUACACUUUAUUUCCAGUUAUUUUUGCUGCAAGAGCAAAGAAUUGAAUGAAAUUGUUGAUGUGAUUCUAGCCUUAUGAUGCUAGGAAGAUGCCCACCAUCCUGUUCUAUUCUAUAAAGUGAGAUGACUGUAUAACAUUUUAUCAGUUUAAUUACAAAGUCCAUUUAAAGAGAACUCCCUGGGGAAGGUAGAAUUUAAAUCCUUACAGUGUACAAUUAUCUUCACCCAGUCAGGGCAUAAAAUAAACUGCACACUUCCUGGUUCUCAGUUCAAAAAUGUUUUUAAAAUGCUGUAAGUGGUAAAUAUAGCAUGUUAGCAAACACUGUUUGCUGCCGGAUUGUUCAAAAAUGUAUUCACGCAAACAAUUGUUGGGAUAAUUAUUAAUGCUAAAAAUAUUUGAAGUUGCAGUGACUCCGCAUCUGAAGUCUAGUAUGUGUCAUUUGUUUUAUUCAUGAUAAACAGAUCAUUUAGUUGGAAAAAUCCCAUCUGCUUAGAUAUAUCUCUUAUUAUUUAUGAGAACCAUGUUUAGGAAUGCAGGCGGCACAUGUGCAUAAUUAAUCCUGAAGAGAAUUAGACAUUGUUUGAUUCACAGCUGAAUGCAAUUAGCAUUAGGAAGUUUACAUAUGUUGGCAAUAACACAGAUUAGCAACUAAAGUGCUUGUUAAAAAAUUUAACCUGAGGCUGCUGGAGCAGACCUCUCUUAAUGAUGCUUUAAAUGUUGUUGAUGAAGUAAUAAUCAAUUUUGUUUUAUAAAUAGUAAAUCAAGAAUUUAGGUCUAAUUAGCAGUGCUACAGAUCACUUCACUUACAUAUCAGAUGUACUUGUGAUGUGUGCUAUGAACUUUCUCGGAGUCUUGUGUGCAAACAGUUGUUAUGGGGAAGACAUGAUCCUUUCUGGAAGAAAGAAAUCACUCUCCAGCCAGAGAAGAGUGAGGCGUCUACCUUUUAGAAGGACUUCUCUGGAGAUGUUCAGCAGAAGAGCUGCGUCUUUGUCUCCCUGCAGCUUUUAAUUGCAGGAGAGAGAAACAAUGCCCUGUCUUGGCAAGCAGAGCCAUUAGCCAGUUUUACAGACUGUGAAACGGAGUCAUCUAAUGGGGAGGGAGGAGAAAUGGAAAUGACGAAAAUGAGGCCGCAAGUAAAAUGGAGCUGUAAUUGUUUGCACUUCAACUUCGAGAAGUUCACCAUUAAUUAAAAUGUUUCUACACCACUUGCCAGCCACCAGAAUGGUAAGAAGGAGGCAAGUCUGCCUGGGAGGCAGACCGCACCUGCAGCAUUUGGAAGUUUCCAGGCUAGGGGUCAAAUCGGAGCUAUAGCAGCCGGCCUGUGCCACAGCUGCAGCGACACCAGAUCUGAGCCAUGUCUGCAACCUACACUACAGUUCAUAGCACGCCGGAUCCUUAACCCACUGAGCAAGGCCAGGGAUUGAACCUGAGUCAUCCUCAUGGAUACUAGUGAGGUUUGUUACAACUGUGCCACAAUGGGAGCUCCUCACCUGGCACUUUUCUCACAGCCCUCAGUUAUGAUUUUGACUCUUCCUGUGCCUUGUUAUAAAUUAGUAUUGUACAUUUUUCAGAAUGAACAGGGAUAUGGAUGUAGUUUAUUUGGGAAAUAUUUCCCCUAUUUUAUAGAGUCUGCCUCACAUUUCUUUUUCACAUUUUAACAUCUCUGAAAUGUGAGUGGCUCUCACAGUGCUGACCAUCCUAGAGUUAAUUAGCAACUUUAUCAUAAAAUAAUACUAAUAGCCUCUUAGAUUCAAUUAAAUGUGGGACAGAAUGCAACUUCCAUGCCAGGCUCUGUGCUGGGGAUGAGGAAUAAAUGAGAUUUACAUCAUAUGAUGCAAAAGGAGUAUAAUAAGGGCAUGUACAAAGAACAUGCUUCACACUGAACUUGUAGAACGUGAACUGCAUUUACUGAGUGGCUCAACAAGUAUUUGAACAUGAAGUCUUAUAACAGGGUCAUAUACUAAUACCCAUUGUCAUGAUAGUGACUCUUUUCUGGAUGAUAAGCAGUGUCAGCAGAUGUGUGUAGAAUGUAAGCUCUGUGGGAGAGGGAGUUUUUUCUGUAUGUUCACUGCACCAUCCCUAUCAACAGUACUUGGCACCUGGAGUCACUCAAUAAUUACCUGUUAAAUGAAGAAGGAACCAGACCAGGGGUUGACUUUGCCCUGGGAGCAAAGAUUGUUUUUACACAUGUCAAUGGUUGAAAACAAAAAUCAAAGGAAGACUCAUAUUUCAUGGCAUACCGGAAUUGCAGGAAAUGCAAAUUCUUGUGUAUAUAAAUAAAGUUUUAUUGACACAUCCACCUUUAUACACAUUUUGCCUAUGACUGUUUUCUCACUACAAAGGCAGAGUUUAGUUGUAAAAGUAAACUUAGGGCCCACAAACCCCCAAAUAUUUACUAUUUACAGAAUAGGAAGACAUUGGCAUUCACAGAGAAAAUUUGCUGACUCUAGGCUGGGCUAUUGUUGUCGGAGAGAUAGGAUCUUGGGAGAUUAGGUACAGCCUGGGAGUUCUGUGGCCUCACUCCCCUGCUCAGGGAAUCACUUCCUGCUCCCCACCCCUCUGGUUGAGUAAACUUGAACAUCACCACUAAUGACAUCCUUGAUGACAGGGAAGCUUAACUCUAUUCCAAGACCCUUCACACACAUAUGCUACAGUUACCCCUUGACUCUCAUAAAAUUAAAUUAAUUCUGGCUCUCCUGCUAGAGAUGCAUAAGCUGAAUUGUAUACUUAAAGCUGAAUGAUAAUACCUCCUGGUACAUGAUCAAAUUUGGUACAACUUUAAUCCAUUUGGCUUGUAUCCAAGAAGACCCAUUAGAGGAAAAAAGUACCAUCUGAAUUUCAUUAUCCAAAUAGUUUGUGUUAGGUGGUCCUGAGACGUGACCCUCAAGAGUGUUAUGCUUUGUAUUUAAAAUGAUCAGUUCUGAAGGUCCUCUCCUUCUUCACAUCUGCUAUGUGCUAGAUGUUUUCUCUUGUCCACUAGGAGUGCAAUAACUAUUAAAGAAUCACAACACAUGGACAGGCAGUCAGGGAGUCAACACAGUCUGAGGUUAUCUGAGAUCAGGGCAAUGUUACAAGUGAAUCAGCUGUUCCAAGGUGGGUCCCUGGACCUUGGGCCAGUCGCUGACAAUACAUAGAGAGCAGCUUUCAAAGGAAGGAAUACAGGCAUGGGGAGAGAAAGCAUUAUUCACUCUGAUGCUCUGACUUCCCUUCCCCUUUCACUCCUCAACUGCAUAACCUGCUAGAGACAGAAACUAAUUCUUCUGCUUGAAAACAGAGACACAAACUAUCCCAUGAUUAUGGGCUUGCAUAUCUCUAAGCACCACCACCCAGAACCGUACACUUAACCACCCAUAAAUAUUUUAGAAUGAGUUAGUAACAUCAGAACUCUCUAAGAACAUAGAGCUAAGGAAAGAAACAGAAUUGGAAAAAGUUUUUUUUUUUUUUUUUAAAUUGGAUUAAACAUCAAAGUUCCAAGCAUGGGGUAAUGCCAACAGGCCAAAUCUAUGUUCAUUUGUUGGGAAGCUGUUGAGUAACCAAGAGGUAUCUAGAAAGAUUUGCUAAAACUGGGAGGAAGAUGCUUUGUUACAGAGACUACUAAGUCAUCCAGUAUCUAUUUCCCCCUUCUGGUUACACACACAUAUGUGUGAGUGCGUGUUCACGCUCACACACAUGCACACACACACAGAGUGAAAGCAGAGAUUGUGUCAACCCGAUAGAUACUUUCCCAUACUCCUUAUAGUUAGGUGUGCCCGUGUAUCUAAAUUCUGGACAGUGAGCAGAGAUAAUGUUUGUCAUCUCUAUAUCAGACCCUUUAAAGGAAGCUUCUUAUUCCUCACCAUGUCUCUUUUCUCCUUGCUGUGCGUAAGAACGAGGAUAUGGUACUAGUAAUCUAGGGAAUUGGUCUGUAGAGCUGCCAUAACAAAGUUCCACAAGGUGGAUGCCUUAAACAACACAAAUAUAUUUUCUCACAAUUUGAGAAGCUAGAAGUUCUAGAGCAAGAUGCCAUAAGGUUGGGUUUCUGAUGAGGCCUCUCUCCCUGGUUUGCAGAUAGCUGCUCUCUCACUGUGUCCUCCACACGGCCCAUCUGUGUGCACAGACAAAGAGGGGGCUCUGGUGUCUCUUCCUCUUUUUAUAAGAGCCCAUGGGAUUAAGGCCCCCUUUCAUUUAACCUUUAUUACUUCCUUAUAGGCCUUAGUUCCAAAUACUUUCACAUUGGGAGGGGGAGCGGGUGAGAGCUUCAACAUAGGAAUUUUGAGAGGGACACUAGUCAAUCCAUAACGACCGGGUUUGCUGAGUCCCCUAGGUGAUGCUGGAGCACAAGGAUGGAAAACACCUGGAUCCUAGAUGAGUUCUUAACAUAGACGUGUGUAACCUCUUUGGACAGUCCCCCUCCUUCAGGACUGUUCUGUCUGAGCCACUGGGUUUCUGGGUGUGUUUGUUACAGCAGCUGUAUCCUAGCAGAAUGUGAAAGAAGAGGGCCAAAUGGACCCGCCUCUCACUUUACGACUCUACUUGGAGAAAAAACAGAACAAGUCACCCAUCCUCUUAUCUGAAUCUACUUUUGAAUUUGCUUUGACUCCAUUUAAUACUAAUCUGAUUAUAUUUAAAUAGGCAAAUGUUUAGAUAUUACAGUUGCAUCUUUUACAUAACAGCCCUCUCUCUAAUCUGUGCAGUGGAAGGAGUUUUGGUUGUACUCUGUGAUAGACGUGAAGCUACCAAAAGUAUAAAUUUAGAUCUUUUAUUAAUUAUAUUUCUUGCCAAGUUCAUGUUGCCAGCUUGAAAGAAUGUGCACACUUUUUUAAAAGUUGAUACUUCUGGAAAAAUACAAUUAUUUGUGAUGAAACCAAAGGACUUCAUGAAAACUUCUUUAGACUACUUAGAAAAGAUGGGAAAAGAGAGAAACUAUUGGGUUUCUUCUUCUUCUUUUUUUUUUAAAUUGUUGCACCCACGGCAUAUGGAAGUUCUCAGGACAGGGGUUAAAUCUGAGCACAGCGCCAACUUAUGCCACAGUUAUGUCAACGCAGAUCCUUUAAUCCACUGAGCCAGGCCAGGGAUCAAACCUGGGCCUCCAGAGCAAACUGAACCACUGCAGUUGGAUUCUUAACCCACUGCACCACAGCGGGAACUCCUGGGUUUCUUUUUUGAAUUAUAGAAUGUUCUAAAAGAUUAUGGUGAUGGUUGUGAAAUUCUAUGAGCUUACUAAAAAUCACUGAUCUGUAUUCUUUAAGUGGGUGAGUUACAUAUGUGCAUAUGGGAAAGCAAAGUAAAAAAACUCUACAGCUUUAAGUUAGAUUUCAGGAAUAAAAGGUUUGUGAGGAGCACUAGAAAAGCCAAGGCGGCCUUUGCUCUGGUAUACAGUUAUCCUGGUGGAGCCAAACAGCUCUGUGUAUUUGGAAGAGGGGAUACUGAAGAAGGCCCUGGCAUACAUGGGAACUCAACUGAAAACCAGUGUUUCCCUGUAGAAGUCACUAAGUUUAACAGGUAGACACAAGAGGACAAGAGAUACAGUGAUGGGGGUCUCUGAACCUACAUCAUCUAUGUUCAGCCUUCAGAGGGUCCCUCACACAACGAAUAGGCACAAUACCUUGUUUUGUUUUCCUAGGUUUUUUCUUGUAUUGUUAAAGGCAGAGAUAAGUGUUAAUUAAAUACUUUUAUCAAACCGAUUGAAUUACUCCUUUUUAUACUUUAUUCUGAACUUCACUCUCCUGAAUAAAUGAAAGCAGUUAUGUCCUCAGGGUGGGGGAAAUCCUCAGGUCCUAAACAGUAACUUAGACAUAGGGAUGUCUUUUUAACCCAAGUAUCAAGUUUGCCUUCACCUAUAUAUUCAUUCCCUUUUAUUAGAGUGUUGGUGAAAGUCAGGGUUGGAGCAUCAUAAAAAGUUUCAUAAUUUCCACAUUUCACUUUAAGCUUAAUUCCUCUUCUUAUGUCUUUUCUUCAUCUAGAGAAGCGUGGGUCAUUAUUUUUCUAUACUGUUCUUGAACUGUGGUACUGUUAGACCUUUCUCUUGGCUACAUAAUCCUGUUCCUUUGCUUAAAUUUUCCUUUAUAUUUCCUAUUUCUCAACACUUUAACCACUCUCAUUGAGGUCUUCAGUUGAUAUAAAUAGUCAUUUUCACUUUUUUCCUCUGCGUGAUUAUUUGAAAUAGUAUUUCUAAGAAAAAAUUAACAUAACUGUAAGUGGUUUUACACUAUGCACAUUACAAGGUCUAAAGAAAUACACUUCCAAGAUUCAAAAAGACUGGUGAUUACUUUUGAAAACUUAGACUAAAGUAGGUAGCUCCAGAAAAUGGGAUAAAAUAAACCAUGUAGGUUUUAUUUGUCAGAACAAAAAGAUUUUCCAUGAUAAUUACAAUUUGGCAAAUCUAUUGUGAGGCCCCUGGGGU